rnacentral:rRNA from 1 species
GACGAACGCUUGCGGCGUGCUUAACACAUGCAAGUCGAACGGAAAGGCCCUGCUUUUGUGGGGUGCUCGAGUGGCGAACGGGUGAGUAACACGUGAGUAACCUGCCCUUGACUUUGGGAUAACUUCAGGAAACUGGGGCUAAUACCGGAUAGGAGCUCCUGCUGCAUGGUGGGGGUUGGAAAGCUUCGGCGGUUGGGGAUGGACUCGCGGCUUAUCAGCUUGUUGGUGGGGUAGUGGCUUACCAAGGCUUUGACGGGUAGCCGGCCUGAGAGGGUGACCGGCCACAUUGGGACUGAGAUACGGCCCAGACUCCUACGGGAGGCAGCAGUGGGGAAUAUUGCACAAUGGGCGGAAGCCUGAUGCAGCAACGCCGCGUGCGGGAUGACGGCCUUCGGGUUGUAAACCGCUUUCGCCUGUGACGAAGCGUGAGUGACGGUAAUGGGUAAAGAAGCACCGGCUAACUACGUGCCAGCAGCCGCGGUGAUACGUAGGGUGCGAGCGUUGUCCGGAUUUAUUGGGCGUAAAGGGCUCGUAGGUGGUUGAUCGCGUCGGAAGUGUAAUCUUGGGGCUUAACCCUGAGCGUGCUUUCGAUACGGGUUGACUUGAGGAAGGUAGGGGAGAAUGGAAUUCCUGGUGGAGCGGUGGAAUGCGCAGAUAUCAGGAGGAACACCAGUGGCGAAGGCGGUUCUCUGGGCCUUUCCUGACGCUGAGGAGCGAAAGCGUGGGGAGCGAACAGGCUUAGAUACCCUGGUAGUCCACGCUGUAAACGGUGGGUACUAGGUGUGGGGUCCAUUCCACGGGUUCCGUGCCGUAGCUAACGCUUUAAGUACCCCGCCUGGGGAGUACGGCCGCAAGGCUAAAACUCAAAGGAAUUGACGGGGCCCCGCACAAGCGGCGGAGCAUGCGGAUUAAUUCGAUGCAACGCGUAGAACCUUACCUGGGUUUGACAUGGAUCGGGAGUGCUCAGAGAUGGGUGUGCCUCUUUUGGGGUCGGUUCACAGGUGGUGCAUGGCUGUCGUCAGCUCGUGUCGUGAGAUGUUGGGUUAAGUCCCGCAACGAGCGCAACCCUUGUUCACUGUUGCCAGCACGUUAUGGUGGGGACUCAGUGGAGACCGCCGGGGUCAACUCGGAGGAAGGUGGGGAUGACGUCAAGUCAUCAUGCCCCUUAUGUCCAGGGCUUCACGCAUGCUACAAUGGCUGGUACAGAGAGUGGCGAGCCUGUGAGGGUGAGCGAAUCUCGGAAAGCCGGUCUCAGUUCGGAUUGGGGUCUGCAACUCGACCUCAUGAAGUCGGAGUCGCUAGUAAUCGCAGAUCAGCAACGCUGCGGUGAAUACGUUCCUGGGGCU